CACUUAUUCAUAGGCUGCUCACACCCUGUGCAGUAGUCAGUGCCAGUAGUACACAGCAUGGACAUGAGGACUGCUGCUCAGCUCCUGGGGCUCCUGCUGCUCUGCUUCCCAGGUUCCAGAUGUGACAUCCAGAUGACCCAGACUCCAUCCUUCCUGUCUGCAACUCCAGGAGACACUGUAUCCAUCAAGUGCCGGGCCAGUCAGGACAUUAGCAGUUGGUUAUCCUGGUAUCAGCAGAAACCAGGGAAAGCUCCCAAACCCCUGAUAUACAAAGCAUCUAGUUUAGAAUCAGGUGUCCCAUCCAGGUUCAGUGGCAGUGGAUCUGGGACAGAUUAUUCUCUCACCAUCAGCAGCGUGCAGCCUGAAGAUUUUGCCAUGUAUUACUGUGUACAGGAUUAUGAAUAU